UGGAGACGCCUCCCGCAAGGUCUGCGCUGCGCCGCGGAGCCCCGGCUGCCCACGUAGAGGCGGCGGCCGUCUCGGGGCCCCCGAGUGCGGGGCGCCCACUGCGGCCGCCAAGAGCUCGUCUCUGUCAGCCUCGGGUGCACGUGGGCCCGCGGUCGAGCCCUAAGGCCGGGCGUGGGGCGGGGGCCGCAGGGAGAGUAACCGUGAGCCGGCGCCCAGCCUUCAGGGCGCUCCCUCGAGCUAUGGGAGCUGCCCCCGGGCACGGCUCAGACACCC
rnacentral:telomerase_RNA from 1 species